rnacentral:rRNA from 1 species
UGGGGAAUUUUGGACAAUGGGCGAAAGCCUGAUCCAGCAAUGCCGCGUGUGUGAAGAAGGCCUUCGGGUUGUAAAGCACUUUUGUCCGGAAAGAAAUCCUUGGCUCUAAUACAGUCGGGGGAUGACGGUACCGGAAGAAUAAGCACCGGCUAACUACGUGCCAGCAGCCGCGGUAAUACGUAGGGUGCAAGCGUUAAUCGGAAUUACUGGGCGUAAAGCGUGCGCAGGCGGUUUGCUAAGACCGAUGUGAAAUCCCGGGCUCAACCUGGGAACUGCAUUGGUGACUGGCAGGCUAGAGUAUGGCAGAGGGGGGUAGAAUUCCACGUGUAGCAGUGAAAUGCGUAGAGAUGUGGAGGAAUACCGAUGGCGAAGGCAGCCCCCUGGGCCAAUACUGACGCUCAUGCACGAAAGCGUGGGGAGCAAACAGGAUUAGAUACCCUGGUAGUCCACGCCCUAAACGAUGUCAACUAGUUGUUGGGGACUUCAUUUUCCUUAGUAACGUAGCUAACGCGUGAAGUUGACCGCCUGGGGAGUACGGUCGCAAGAUUAAAACUCAAAUGAAUUGACGGGGUCAUAGCUGUUUCCU